AACAUCCUGCUGCUAAAUCUCAGCAUCACAGAGCCAUCACUAGAACCGGGGCUUCAAAUAUUCUCCCAGCUGCAUUCACGGUCUCUGUUUAAGUCUGUUUGACUACAAUUGACAGUUCGGGGAAAAAACUGCAAGGACCCACAUGCGGACUAUGGAUCUGGACUGGACCGGUCCCACCAAUUUAUCUAAACCUGGAAACAUGGGUCUAGAACUGAUGACCCAGACAGAGAUGAAACCCGACAUAUUUUAGGGCUUUUCCUGUCUUGGUAUGGCGUUUACAUUCUUACUGGUCACAACGAGGGUGAUGUCAGCAGGUGUUCUGGGAGUAGCAUCAGAAGGGGCAGGGCUGAGUGGCUCUAGGCUGAUGGAUGGUUGGGCGCUGUCACUUAGUGGAGCCCUCUGGUUGCCAGAUACCUGACUGACGCCUAGGCGCUCCACAUCCAGCACAACGCUGUCCACACAGGGGAGACUGGUCUAAAGAAAGAAACAGGCUUUGACAGCUCAGCUGUACUGUUAUCAUUGGCUGCUGUGGGGGAACAAAAAG